rnacentral:rRNA from 1 species
GAUCCUGGCUCAGGAUGAACGCUAGCUACAGGCUUAACACAUGCAAGUCGAGGGGCAGCAUGGUCUUGGCUUGCUAAGGCUGAUGGCGACCGGCGCACGGGUGAGUAACACGUAUCCAACCUGCCGUCUACUCUUGGCCAGCCUUCUGAAAGGAAGAUUAAUCCAGGGUGGGAUCAUGAGUUCACAUGUCCGCAUGAUUAAAGGUAUUUUCCGGUAGACGAUGGGG